rnacentral:lncRNA from 1 species
AUGUUGUCACGCAUUCUCACCAGUGAAGAGUUGAAUAUUCUCUCCGAGCCUAUUCGGAGCAAGCUCGACAAAUGGAUUAAUGAAAAUGUGGAGGCUCACUUCGCCACCAAAGCCUUAUUCGAAACCCAUAAGAAAGAUUCUGAUGUUAAAAUUACCACUUUAUCAUCAGAGUUAGAAGUUUGUCAAAAUGAUAGAGCAGAAAUUCAACAGAAGCUGUCCCUUUUAGAAAUAGAUUUCAAAAAUAUCGAAAACAAAUAUGAUACCAGUCGGACAGAACUUCGCACAUUACAUGAGUCAAUCAAGAGAAUUGAAGAUGAAAAUGAGAGAAUUCGUCAACAGAGAGAUAGCUUGGCUGAAAGUCAGGCGGAAAUUGCUGCUACAUUGGAAAGAAGAAAUGCAGAGCGGGGACGUUUACAAGGAGACAUUGAGGGGCUUCAAAAUCAGCUCCAGGUAAUUGAACUAUCUAUCUUCUUGACCUAUAAUAAGGCAAACUUGGCCAUUACUGCGGCCUCAUUGACUGGUUGUCAGGGUAAUGAGUCAGUUAAGCUCGGGAGGGAUUUGCCUGCAAAUAGUCGAAUCUUACAGUUUUCGGUACGAGAAGAACGAUGCGCACGUUAAAAUUUCACGAAAUAUUGUCUCCGCGGAGAUAUAACGCUUCCUUUUUAGGGGUCCUCGAAAACAUGUUCGAACCGACCGCCGUGAAUAUUUGCCUCUACGCGUCAUAGACGGGAAGAUGGCGGCGCAGAAGCCGACCUGCUUACUACCGCCACGCCGCCGUUGUUGACAUCACGAUUUCUCGUUUGAGGUUAAGUAAGUUCUAUGUGAAUGUUUCAUAUCCUACAUACAUCUGUAUCGCAUACUGGUUGAAAACCUUAGAGAAUUGAGAACAAUGAAUUUGAAUCUCAAACAAAGUAACCUACAUAACCUCAAAUUGACCAACAAAAACACACCGCCAACGUGACGCCGCCGUGUAUUCUUCCACUACGCAUUCCGCCGCCAUAUUGAUCGUGACGUUUACAUGCAAAACCUACGAGCGCGCAGUUCAAACGCCGUUUUAGGCCACCCUAAUUUUUGGCACUUUCAAAUAAACUUUUCUCCCGUUUGCAGUCAUCAAAAAAAUUUAGGAAAAAAACCGUAAGCUUCGGUCACUUACUACUUUCGAAUGACACAAUUAAAAAAAAUGACUUAACUGACUCAUUACAGAGAAGAUUGAUGCAGCUGCAGCCAUUUGGUUGACUGAAGUAAAUGCUCAAGUCAAGUAUACACCGAUGGCUAAAGUGAGGUACUAUGUAUCUCCAUUGCGAUGCUUCAAAAUUUCUGCUCCCAGUUCAUUUUUUCGAAAAUAAAUUAAACAAGCCAACUUUACAACUUGAAAUUUAUACAGAAUAUUUUGCUGACAAAAAAAAUUCUAAGAAGUUUAAAAAUCACACUGACUAGUCUUCCAAAAAGAAAGAAAAAGAAGUAUGACAGGAAGUCUGCAAAGUCACUUAUGAAGAUAAGUGGUUUUGCACUUUGGCCAUUGAUAUAUCCCAAAAACGGCAAAAAUGAUUCACAUGUUUGCGGGGUGAACAGGAAAAUUUCAUCACGAGUACAAUUGGUUAAGAUAAAAAGGCUGUCCAAAAAAGUAAACACUGAAAGUUCAUAGCAAUUUUGUGCCAUUCAAGUUUGUCUCAAGUAAAAUAUUUUUCUCUUCCCCUCACUCUUUGGUUAUGAGGGAAAACUCAAAGAGUGAGCCUGUGAUCAUUGAACAGAACUGAACGAUAAAUUAAUUUCAGAUUUGAAAGUUAUUUAUUUAUUGUUAGUAUUCCAUAUUUUGUCUACCACAGAAUCCAGAGAAAAGUUUCUGAUAGUUUAGAAUGAUUUCAUCACAGGAUUAUUCUACUUUCAUUUGUUUAUUUUUUUUGCGUUCCUUCUGUUUCAUGCAGUAGCAAAAUUGAC